rnacentral:rRNA from 1 species
GUGAACGCUGGCGGCGUGCCUAAUACAUGCAAGUCGAGCGGACAGAUGGGAGCUUGCUCCCUGAUGUUAGCGGCGGACGGGUGAGUAACACGUGGGUAACCUGCCUGUAAGACUGGGAUAACUCCGGGAAACCGGGGCUAAUACCGGAUGCUUGAUUGAACCGCAUGGUUCAAUUAUAAAAGGUGGCUUUUACCUACCACUUACAGAUGGACCCGCGGCGCAUUACCUAGUUGGUGAGGUAACGGUUCACCAAGGCAACGAUGCGUAGCCGACCUGAGAGGGUGAUCGGCCACACUGGGACUGAAACACGGCCCAAACUCCUACGGGAGGCAGCAGUAGGGAAUCUUCCGCAAUGGACAAAAGUCUGACGGAGCACCGCCGCUUGAGUGAUAAAGGUUUUCGGAUCGUAAAACUCUGUUGUUAGGGAAAAACAAGUCCCGUUCAAAUAGGGCGGUACCUUGACGGUCCCUAACCAGAAAGCCACGGUUAAUUACGUCCCAGCAGCCG